GGAGAAUGUUGAAAGGAGGGUUCAAACAAAAUCACUUAGCCAUGAAACCUGAUAUACUAUGUCAAGGAACUACUAUUUAUGCCUUAACCCUUAGCUGUUAGACUGAGUGGUUUUCCUUACUAGCUUGUUAUUGUAUUGGUGGUCAUGAAUUAUUUUUACUAUUUCCUGUUUGUUAAUAAUUAACAUCCAUGGGUUUUGACAGACACUUUUAUGUUAGUUUAGUUUGGUUUUGGUAAUUGAAAAAUAAUUUCUCAUGGAUAAAAUGAAAUUUUGAAUGUUUAACUCACCAAUUGUUUAUGAAACAUCUCUAUAUGUGAACAGCGAGUCAUCUGCCCUUCAACCGGAAUGGAUUCAAAUUUUUCACAAAUGCUGGUGGACUUGGAAAGACUGAUAUCAAAAACGUAUUAGAGCGAGCUGCUGAUAUAUACAAUCAAUUUACAGCUGAAAAUUGAUUGUGUAUA